UGACUUAUCACAAAUGUCGCCAGAUCCUCUUUAACUUUAAUAAUCUCUGUCUUAGGUUGACGACAUUUCUGAUGAUAUAUCAGACUUAUGAUGACUUAUCAAAAUUGUCGUCACUUCUUCACUCAAAAUUCUAUUUGUUGCCUAAGCCUAACGGCAUCUCUGAUGCCUUAUCAGGGUUAUGAUGACAUAUCAAAAAUGUCAUCACAUCUUCACUUCAAUUUUUCUAACACUGUAACACUUGAUGAUAUUUUUGAUAGCCUAUCACAAAGCUGAUGACUUAUCACAAAUGUCGUCAGCUUUUUUUUCUU
rnacentral:lncRNA from 1 species